UACAGAGGGGGCAAGCGUUGUUCGGAAUUACUGGGCGUAAAGCGUGCGCAGACGGUUGCGUAAGUCAGAUGUGAAAGCCCCGGGCUCAACCCUGGGAAUUGCAUUUGAGACUGCGUAGCUAGGGUGCGGAAGAGGGAAGCGGAAUUUCCGGUGUAGCGGUGAAAUGCGUAGAUAUCGGAAGGAACACCAGUGGCGAAAGCGGCUUCCUGGUCCCAGCACCGGACGUCAGGC
rnacentral:rRNA from 1 species